rnacentral:rRNA from 1 species
UACAGAGGUCCCGAGCGUUGUUCGGAUUCAUUGGGCGUAAAGGGUGCGUAGGUGGCGCCGUAAGUGGGGUGUGAAAUCCCGGGGCUUAACCCCGGGACUGCAUUCCAUACUGCGGUGCUUGAGGACUGGAGAGGAGACUGGAAUUUACGGUGUAGCAGUGAAAUGCGUAGAGAUCGUAAGGAAGACCAGUGGCGAAGGCGGGUCUCUGGACAGUUCCUGACACUGAGGCACGAAGGCCAGGGAGAGAAACGGG